UACGUAGGGUGCGAGCGUUGUCCGGAAUUAUUGGGCGUAAAGGGCUCGUAGGCGGUUUGUCGCGUCGGGAGUGAAAACCUUGGGCUUAACUCAGGGCUUGCUUUCGAUACGGGCAGACUAGAGGUAUGCAGGGGAGAACGGAAUUCCUGGUGUAGCAGUGAAAUGCGCAGAUAUCAGGAGGAACACCGGUGGCGAAGGCGGUUCUCUGGGCAUGAUCUGACGCUGAGGAGCGAAAGUGUGGGGAGCGAACAGG
rnacentral:rRNA from 1 species